rnacentral:rRNA from 1 species
CAGUAGCCGCGGUAAUACGAAGGGUGCAAGCGUUAAUCGGAAUUACUGGGCGUAAAGCGUGCGUAGGCGGUUCGUUAAGUCUGCUGUGAAAUCCCCGGGCUCAACCUGGGAAUGGCAGUGGAUACUGGCAAGCUAGAGUGUGUCAGAGGAUGGUGGAAUUCCCGGUGUAGCGGUGAAAUGCGUAGAGAUCGGGAGGAACAUCAGUGGCGAAGGCGGCCAUCUGGGACAACACUGACGCUGAGGCACGAAAGCGUGGGGAGCAAACAGGAUUAGAUACCCCCGUAGUCCCUGUCUCUUAUAC